ACGCGUUCUCAAAAUCUUGAGAGAAAGUCCGAACCCAAAGAGGACAAUAUCUGCUAUAUGGGUGUGAAAACCUCUCCUUAACUAACGCGUUUUAAAAACCUUGAGGGAAAACCCAAAGAAGAUAAUAUCUACUAGCGGUGGAGGACUUGCGCCGUUACAAAAAGGGUCUUCUUUGAUUCCGGAAAAUCUCUCUUUUUCUAGGAUACGGAUAUUGGUUGUUGUAAGCUUAUGCUACUAGAAUAUAGUACAUUAUAUAAUGUUUACUGUGUAUCCUCAUGAGAAAAUUAAAGCCCUCAUGUUCUCAAGUCUUUAAUGGUAAUAACUUUCACUUGCUAUUGCUGCAGUGGACAUUUCAUCCAGCAUUAAGCAGGGAAUUUGGUUCAUAUAAACCAAAUCCCGCUCCGCUACUUCAUAUCUGCUCAUCUUGGGACGUCCUACCUAACCAAGUCAUUAUGGUUGGCGAUAGCCUCAAAGAUGAUAUUGGAUGUGGCAAGCAAGCCGGAGCGUUCACAUGUUUGCUAGACGAAACGGGAAGGUACAACUCGGAGCAUUACGCCAACACGGAUCUCGAACCAGAUUUUAAAGCAUCUACACUUGGUGAAGUUCUUCAUCUUUUGAAGGCGAAUUUUGAGUUGGCACCAUGAUCCUGACUCUUGCAGAUGGUAGAACGUUUAAGAUGUAUUGAUGGAUUUCAUGAAAAGGGAAAAAUAAGUUCCAAAAUUGUUUGAGUGAUUAGGAUUUUAAUUGAAAGUUGAGUCGUUCUACAAACGAAAAGAAGAGAUGGGAAUCCUUCUACGACAAUUGUAUCAAUAAAAAUCUUUGAACUA